UAAGGAAUAUUGGUCAAUGGACGGAAGUCUGAACCAGCAAUGCCGCGUGCAGGAUGAAGGCCUUCGGGUUGUAAACUGCUUUUGUACGGAACGAAACGGCUCUGGUUAAUACCUGGGGCUAAUGACGGUACCGUAAGAAUAAGCACCGGCUAACUACGUGCCAGCAGCCGCGGUAAUACGUAGGGUGCGAGCGUUAAUCGGAAUUACUGGGCGUAAAGCGUGCGCAGGCGGUGAUGUAAGACAGAUGUGAAAUCCCCGGGCUCAACCUGGGACCUGCAUUUGUGACUGCAUCGCUGGAGUGCGGCAGAGGGGGAUGGAAUUCCGCGUGUAGCAGUGAAAUGCGUAGAUAUGCGGAGGAACACCGAUGGCGCAGGCAAUCCCCUGGGCCUGCACUGACGCUCAUGCACGAAAGCGUGGGGAGCAAACA
rnacentral:rRNA from 1 species